rnacentral:rRNA from 1 species
GACGAACGCUGGCGGCGUGCUUAACACAUGCAAGUCGAACGGAAAGGCCCUGCUUUUGUGGGGUGCUCGAGUGGCGAACGGGUGAGUAACACGUGAGUAACCUGCCCUUGACUUUGGGAUAACUUCAGGAAACAGGGGCUAAUACCGGAUAGGAGCUCCUGCUGCAUGGUGGGGGUUGGAAAGUUUCGGCGGUUGGGGAUGGACUCGCGGCUUAUCAGCUUGUUGGUGGGGUAGUGGCUUACCAAGGCUUUGACGGGUAGCCGGCCUGAGAGGGUGGCCGGCCACAUUGGGACUGAGAUACGGCCCAGACUCCUACGGGAGGCAGCAGUGGGGAAUAUUGCACAAUGGGCGGAAGCCUGAUGCAGCAACGCCGCGUGCGGGAUGACGGCCUUCGGGUUGUAAACCGCUUUCGCCUGUGACGAAGCGUGAGUGACGGUAAUGGGUAAAGAAGCACCGGCUAACUACGUG